rnacentral:rRNA from 1 species
AGUGAACGCUGGCGGUAGGCCUAACACAUGCAAGUCGAACGGCAGCACAGUAAGAGCUUGCUCUUACGGGUGGCGAGUGGCGGACGGGUGAGGAAUACAUCGGAAUCUACUUUUUCGUGGGGGAUAACGUAGGGAAACUUACGCUAAUACCGCAUACGACCUACGGGUGAAAGCAGGGGAUCUUCGGACCUCGCGCGAUUGAAUGAGCCGAUGUCGGAUUAGCUAGUUGGCGGGGUAAAGGCCCACCAAGGCGACGAUCCGUAGCUGGUCUGAGAGGAUGAUCAGCCACACUGGAAAUGAGACACGGUCCAGACUCCUACGGGAGGAAGCAGUGGGGAAUAUUGGACAAUGGGCGCAAGCCUGAUCCAGCCAUACCGCGUGGGUGAAGAAGGCCUUCGGGUUGUAAAGCCCUUUUGUUGGGAAAGAAAAGCAGCAGGUUAAUACCCCGCUGUUCUGACGGUACCCAAAGAAUAAGCACCGGCUAACUUCGUG